rnacentral:rRNA from 1 species
UACGGGGGGGGUAAGCGUUGUUCGGAAUUACUGGGCGUAAAGGGCUCGUAGGCGGCCAACUAAGUCAGACGUGAAAUCCCUCAGCUUAACUGGGGAACUGCGUCUGAUACUGGAUGGCUUGGAUUCGGGAGAGGAAUGCGGAAUUCCAGGUGUAGCGGUGAAAUGCGUAGAGAUCGGGAGGAACACCAGUGGCGAAGGCGGCUACCUGGACCAGCACUGACACUCAGGCACGAAAGCGUGGGGAGCAAACAGG